rnacentral:rRNA from 1 species
UACGGGGGGGGUAAGCGUUGUUCGGAAUUACUGGGCGUAAAGGGCUCGUAGGCGGCCAACUAAGUCAGACGUGAAAUCCCUCAGCUUAACUGGGGAACUGCGUCUGAUACUGGAUGGCUUGGAUUCGGGAGAGGAAUGCGGAAUUCCAGGUGUAGCGGUGAAAUGCGUAGAUAUCUGGAGGAACACCUGCGGCGAAGGCGGGUUGCUGGGCUGACACUGACGCUGAUGCGCGAAAGCGUGGGUAGCAAACAGG